UCCUCGUUAGCUCAGCGGUAGAGCAUCCGGCUGUUAACCGGAGGGUCGUUGGUUCGAAUCCAACACGGGGAG
rfam:[Clostridium] neopropionicum strain DSM-3847 CLNEO_contig000018, whole genome shotgun sequence.